GACGAACCGUGCGAACGUUGUUCGGAAUCACUGGGCUUAAAGGGCGCGUAGGCGGGGUCGCAAGUCUGUGGUGAAAGCCUCCAGCUUAACUGGAGAAGUGCCAUGGAUACUGCGCAUCUUGAGGAGGGUAGGGGCGUCUGGAACGGUCGGUGGAGCGGUGAAAUGCGUUGAUAUCGACCGGAACUCCGGUGGCGAAGGCGAGGCGCUGGACCCUUUCUGACGCUGAGGCGCGAAAGCCAGGGGAGCAAACGGG
rnacentral:rRNA from 1 species